GGGAAGGCGGGCAGCUAGUAAUGCAGUCGUACGAGUUCUCGUUGAUGAUCGGUGCUUGCACCGAGAUUCAACAUGGAACGAGUGGCGGACGGGUGAGUAACACGUGGGUAACCUGCCCUUAAGUGGGGGAUAACAUUUGGAAACAGAUGCUAAUACCGCAUAGAUCCAAGAACCGCAUGGUUCUUGGCUGAAAGAUGGCGUAAGCUAUCGCUUUUGGAUGGACCCGCGGCGUAUUAGCUAGUUGGUGAGGUAAUGGCUCACCAAGGCGAUGAUACGUAGCCGAACUGAGAGGUUGAUCGGCCACAUUGGGACUGAGACACGGCCCAAACUCCUACGGGAGGCAGCAGUAGGGAAUCUUCCACAAUGGACGCAAGUCUGAUGGAGCAACGCCGCGUGAGUGAAGAAGGCUUUCGGGUCGUAAAACUCUGUUGUUGGAGAAGAAUGGUCGGCAGAGUAACUGUUGUCGGCGUGACGGUAUCCAACCAGAAAGCCACGGCUAACUACGUGCCAGCAGCCGCGGUAAUACGUAGGUGGCAAGCGUUAUCCGGAUUUAUUGGGCGUAAAGCGAGCGCAGGCGGUUUUUUAAGUCUGAUGUGAAAGCCCUCGGCUUAACCGAGGAAGCGCAUCGGAAACUGGGAAACUUGAGUGCAGAAGAGGACAGUGGAACUCCAUGUGUAGCGGUGAAAUGCGUAGAUAUAUGGAAGAACACCAGUGGCGAAGGCGGCUGUCUGGUCUGUAACUGACGCUGAGGCUCGAAAGCAUGGGUAGCGAACAGGAUUAGAUACCCUGGUAGUCCAUGCCGUAAACGAUGAAUGCUAGGUGUUGGAGGGUUUCCGCCCUUCAGUGCCGCAGCUAACGCAUUAAGCAUUCCGCCUGGGGAGUACGACCGCAAGGUUGAAACUCAAAGGAAUUGACGGGGGCCCGCACAAGCGGUGGAGCAUGUGGGUUUAAUUCGAAGCAACGCGAAGAACCCUUACCAGGUCUUGACAUCUUUUGAUCACCUGAGAGA
rnacentral:rRNA from 2 species